rnacentral:rRNA from 1 species
CCUACGGGUGGCAGCAGUCGAGAAUCAUUCACAAUGGGGGAAACCCUGAUGGUGCGACGCCGCGUGGGGGAAUGAAGGUCUUCGGAUUGUAAACCCCUGUCAUGUGGGAGCAAAUUAAAAAGAUAGUACCACAAGAGGAAGAGACGGCUAACUCUGUGCCAGCAGCCGCGGUAAUACAGAGGUCUCAAGCGGUGUUCGGAAUCACUGGGCGUAAAGCGUGCGUAGGCUGUUUCGUAAGUCGUGUGUGAAAGGCGCGGGCUCAACCCGCGGACGGCAGAUGAUACGGCGAGACUAGAGUAAGGGAGGGGGAACCGGAAUUCUCGGUGUAGCAGUGAAAUGCGUAGAUAUCGAGAGGAACACUCGUGGCGAAGGCGGGUUCCUGGACAUUAACUGACGCUGAGGCACGAAGGCCAGGGGAGCGAAAGGGAUUAGAUACCCGAGUAGUC